UACGAAGGGGGCUAGCGUUGUUCGGAUUUACUGGGCGUAAAGCGCACGUAGGCGGAUCGUUAAAGUCAGGUGUGGAAAUCUCCACGCUCAACGUGGAGGGGCCACCCGAAACUGCCAUGGCUUGAGUCCGGUAGGGGAGUGUGGAAUUCCCGGUGUAGCGGUGAAAUGCGCAGAUAUCGGGAGGAACACCCGUAGCGAAGGCGGCACUCUGGGCCGGUACUGACGCUGAGGAGCGAAAGCGUGGGGAGCAAACAGGG
rnacentral:rRNA from 1 species